rnacentral:misc_RNA from 1 species
GCAGCAUAUAAGCAGAUUGAGUGAAUUGGUCUUAUAUCCUAUAUAUUAUUAACUACCUCUGUGUUUUUUGUUUUUUUGGUUGAAAUAACGACCUCUAUGUGUUUGCUAUGAAAAUAAUCUCACAAAAUUUAAAAACAUAAAAUUUAAAGUGGUUCGGCAAUUUACAUUAUAAAUAAAUCCACCAUUAAAACAAAAGAUAUUAUGACCACUAAUCACUGUCACAAACCUUUUAACCCAAUGCACUCAACGGUGUUUACCCUGUUAGACUAGUGCUUUUUCUAGCACUCACACAGUGAAACUUAGAGAAGCUUGACCUCAACUACAUUCAUACACGCCUCUCUCUAAGCUUAGGCGCAGCAACAUUGAACACUCACCCUCACUUGCUCCACUUGAUCAUGAGCCUUUCUGCCUCCCAGCCAUGCAAAUGACCCUUUAUAUACCCAUAAAAUAAUUGGUCUCCAAGCAUGAGUGGUCCCUAAGGUAUAAAUUGCUGCAGAUUUAUGCAUUUUGCCACAUUCUAGAAAGCUUCCAAAUCCAUACAUCAUCAAGAAAUUUCUUUAAGCAUUUCUUUCACAUUUCCAUUUAAUAAUAUUAUUUUAUUUACUCUUAUUUAUGGGCUUGAUUAUAGUAGUAUACAUUGGAUUUCGAAACAAAUUUAUCUGCUUCUUGUCACUACAGUAGAUCGCUUGAUUUCAUUAGCAGUUAAAAAGGGUCACCAAAUAUUUGUCCAGGUGUUCUGUCAUCUUGUUGAGAAA